rnacentral:rRNA from 1 species
UGGGGAAUAUUGGGCAAUGGGCGCAAGCCUGACCCAGCAACGCCGCGUGAGGGAAGAAGGCUUUCGGGUUGUAAACCUCUGUCCUUGGUGACGAAAAAAAUGACGGUAGCCAAGGAGGAAGCCCCGGCUAACUACGUGCCAGCAGCCGCGGUAAUACGUAGGGGGCGAGCGUUGUCCGGAAUUACUGGGCGUAAAGGGUGCGUAGGUGGCCUUUUAAGUUGGAUGUGAAAUACCCGGGCUUAACUUGGGGGGUGCAUCCAAAACUGGGAGGCUAGAGUGCAGGAGAGGAAAGCGGAAUUCCUAGUGUAGCGGUGAAAUGCGUAGAUAUUAGGAGGAACACCAGUGGCGAAGGCGGCUUUCUGGACUGUAACUGACACUGUGGCACGAAAGCGUGGGGAGCAAACAG